rnacentral:lncRNA from 1 species
UGGUCUCUUCAGCUCACAGCAUCACCGGUGACUCGCGCCGGCUACGAACCUCUAAAUCAUCGGUCCCGAGCUCUCCUGAAAGAGAGAUUCGAAGAACCUCCAAAUCAUCGAGACCAUCAUCGGUCCCGAGCUCUCCUGAAAGAGAGAUUCGAAGAACCUCCAAAUCAUCGGGACAAUUAUCGGUCCCGAGCUCUCCUGAAAGAGAGAAUCGAAGAACCUCCAAAUCAUCGGUCCCGAGCUCCCCUGAAAGAGAGACUCAUCCACCACAGCGCAAGGCAUUGAUCAGAUCGAGCAGUGACAGCACCAAAAGAGA